rnacentral:rRNA from 1 species
GAUGAACGCUGGCGGCGUGCCUAAUACAUGCAAGUCGAGCGAACAGACGAGGAGCUUGCUCCUUCGACGUUAGCGGCGGACGGGUGAGUAACACGUAGGUAACCUACCUAUAAGACUGGGAUAACUUCGGGAAACCGGAGCUAAUACCGGAUAAUAUUUCGAACCGCAUGGUUCGAUAGUGAAAGAUGGCUUUGCUAUCACUUAUAGAUGGACCUGCGCCGUAUUAGCUAGUUGGUAAGGUAACGGCUUACCAAGGCAACGAUACGUAGCCGACCUGAGAGGGUGAUAGGCCACACUGGAACUGAGACACGGUCCAGACUCCUACGGGAGGCAGCAGUAGGGAAUCUUCCGCAAUGGGCGAAAGCCUGAAGGAGCAACGCCGCGUGAGUGAUGAAGGUCUUCGGAUCGUAAAACUCUGUUAUUAGGGAAGAACAAACGUGUAAGUAACUGUGCACGUCUUGACGGUACCUAAUCAGAAAGCCACGGCUAACUACGUG